GGAGGAUCCAAGCGUUAUCCGGAAGUCAUUGGGUUUAAAGGGUCCGUAGGCGGUUUGUUAAGUCAGUGGUGAAAUCUGGUCGCUCAACGAUCAAACGGCCAUUGAUACUGACAGACUUGAAUUAUUGGGAAGUAACUAGAAUAUGUAGUGUAGCGGUGAAAUGCUUAGAUAUUACAUGGAAUACCAAUUGCGAAGGCAGGUUACUAUCAAUAUAUUGACGCUGAUGGACGAAAGCGUGGGGAGCGAACAGGAUUAGAUACCCUGGUAGUCCACGCCGUAAACGAUGGAUACUAGCUGUUGGGAGCAAUUUCAGUGGCUAAGCGAAGGUGAUAAGUAUCCCACCUGGGGAGUACGUUCGCAAGAAUG
rnacentral:rRNA from 1 species